UCCCUGCUGAAAGAGGUUUACAACCCGAAGGCCGUCAUCCCUCACGCGGCGUCGCUGCAUCAGGCUUUCGCCCAUUGUGCAAUAUUCCCCACUGCUGCCUCCCGUAGGAGUCUGGGCCGUGUCUCAGUCCCAGUGUGGCCGGUCGCCCUCUCAGGCCGGCUACCCGUCGUCGCCUUGGUAGGCCAUCACCCCACCAACAAGCUGAUAGGCCGCGGGCUCAUCCUUCACCGCCGGAGCUUUCAACCCCGCCCCAUGCGGGACAGAGUGUUAUCCGGUAUUAGACCCCGUUUCCAGGGCUUGUCCCAGAGUGAAGGGCAGAUUGCCCACGUGUUACUCACCCGUUCGCCACUAAUCCACCCCGAAAGGCUUCAUCGUUCGACUUGCAUGUGUUAAGCACGCCGCCAGCGUUCGUCCUGAGCCAGGAUCAAACUCUAAGGAG
rnacentral:rRNA from 1 species